GCCCGCUGAGGGGAGGGGGCCGGCUCCGGGGCUGCCGCGGGGUGCGCUGAGGCGCUGCUGCGGGUCGGCCGCGGCGCCGGCUGCGGAGCCCCGCGCUCCUCGGUCGCAGAGGUGUGGCGGGGGCCCGGAGGCCCCGAGGCGAGUGCGGUGGUGCCAGGCACGUCAGCGAUGACGCAGGAACCGUGCCGGGACGGUGGUGUGAUGAGCACUGGGGGCUGCUGUGCAGCGGGACCGUCGGGGAUCCAGCCACCUCGCCUGUUCCUGGGCUGUUCGGAAACUGGACUUGCACCAGGAGCCAUGUGGUCAGCUGAUGAAAUUGCUGAGCUAUGUUACGAGCAUUAUAGGACCAGACUCCCUAAGCAGGGAAAACCAGAUCCAAACAGGGAAUGGACUUCACUGGCAGCUGUUGUCAAAGUGGAGUCCGCAGCCCAAAGAGAGGUUCCUGCUAGACCAGGGAAUCUGCAGGUAACAAAGGAGGUUGUUGCUAUGGGAACUGGAACAAAAUGUAUUGGCCAAAACAAAAUGAGAAAAACUGGAGACAUUUUGAAUGACAGUCAUGCUGAAACUGUAGCCAAGAGGAGCUUCCAGAGGUAUCUUCUCCAUCAGAUGUGCCUGGCAGUUUCCUAUCAGCAAUGCAGCAUCUUUAUUCCAGGAACUGAAACAGGGAAAUGGAAACUCAAACCAAAUAUCAUAUUUGUUUUCUUCUCUAGUCAUACCCCAUGUGGAGAUGCUUCUAUUAUUCCAAUUACUGAACCAGAGAACCAGCUUUCUAAGUCAGUGAAUGGAGUUGGUGCGUCUGGACAGUCAGCACAGUGUAGUAGUAACCAUGAUCAUUUGGGUCUCAAAGAUAAAAGGAAAUUGGAGAAAAUGUCAAGUAAUCAUAUAAUCAAGAGAAGGAAAAAUAACGAUGGUGGUUGGUUUUCCAUGAUCAUUGAGGACCUGCCUGUUCAGCAAGUAUUUGUGAAACCAGAAGGCAACGCUAAUCCAAAGAGUUGUGAGUGUUCUGCACAGAUGCAAGCAGCUAACGAGACUGGCCUAAGCAGACUGAAGGCAGUAGAUGUGUAUAGAACUGGAGCAAAAUGUGUACCUGGAGAGCUGGAUGAUGCCAGAGUACCUGGGAUAGGGUAUCACCGUGUAGGAUUAUUACGAGUGAAGCCAGGUCGUGGGGACAGAACACGCUCUAUGUCCUGCAGUGAUAAACUGGCUCGCUGGAAUGUGUUGGGGUGUCAAGGAGCUCUCCUGAUGCAUUUCCUUCAAUAUCCAGUCUAUUUGUCAGCAAUUAUAGUAGGGAAGUGUCCAUAUAGCCAAGAAGCUAUGCGGAGAGCAAUUAUUGAAAGGUGUCAGCAUGUCUCAUCUUUACCAGAUGGUUUUCUCACUCAGGAGGUUAAACUGCUGCAAUCAGAGCUUCGAUUUGAACAUAGCCGUCAGGCAGUCCAGGAAGUUCAAACUAACAGCAAAACAAAACUUGUUCCCUGUAGCGCGGCUAUCAGUUGGAGUGCAGUUCCUGAACAACCUCUGGAUGUCACCUCAGAUGGUUUCCGGCAGGGAACAACAAAGAAAGGGAUUGGGAGCCAUCAGAGCAGAUCCAAGAUCUGUAAAGUGGAACUCUUCCAUGCAUUCCAAAGGCUGGUGACGAGUAUUUCACGAGAGAAUCUACCAGACACUCUCCGGAUGAAGACCCUAAAAACAUACUGGGACUACAAGGAAGCUGCAUCAAGUUAUCAAGAAGCCUGGAAAGUGCUGCGCAGCCAAGCGCUGCUGGGCUGGGUCAAGAAUGCCCAGGAAUACCUGCACUUCACAUGAGAAUAAAAGCAACUGUAAAUACAUCAAAAUGUCCUGAAACCCAGCAGAUACCUAUGCUACUCAAGGGCCAGUAAAGAUGUCCUCUAGUUCCUCUGCUAUAAGGAGAUAGGACUGAAAAGGAAAGUAAAAUCAGAGAUCUCUUUGUUUUGGUUGAUUUGCACCCCGCCCUGCACCCCCCUCUCCCCUUUAUUUAACUGUAGAGAAGAAUCACUGCAUAUUUAGUUCUGAGCUCCAUGAAACAACGUGCCUUCAAAAGUGAGGAAGCAGUGAUGCGAAUCAUCGUUUUUCUGAGGAUAUGAUUUAUCAGCUGUAGUCUGUUGGAAUGGAAGUAAUGUCAACUGAAAUUGAAACAGUGCUAUGGAAGAAAGGCUGUCAUUGUAAAACUUUGGUGCUGGUUUUCCUUCCGCUCUUCAUAAUGUUGUGAUUGUUUUUGUGUUGCUGGGACAACCCUAAUGUAUAAGACAUUACCUCUUGUGCUAUCACUGCACUGCUUGACAAAGAGUCCUUCCCCAGCUUUCCUGUAGCCACUGGAGGGCCUCUAUAGGGUCCCCCCAGAGCCUUCCCUUCUGCAGGCUGAAAAACUCCAGCUCCAGCUCUCCCAGCCUGUCUUCACAGGAGAGGUGCUUCAGCCCUCUGAUUCAACCUUGUGGCCCUCCUCUGGACUCACAUAUUCCUUCCUUCCAAAUGUAUUGGAGUCAUGAAAAAAUCAACAAGACUGCAGUACUGGUAAAUCAGCAAUGGCAAGUGAUAUGGAGGACCCAGGGAACUGCAGGCCUGACCUCGGUGCCAGGAAAGGUGAUGGAACAGGUCAUCUUGAAUGCAAUCACACAAUGUAUGCGGGACCACUGGGGGAUCAGGCCCAGUCAGCAUGGGUUCAUGAAAGGCAAGUCCUGCAUGACCAACCUCAUCUCCUUCUAUGACCAGGUGACCCACCUGGUGGAGGAGAGAAAGCCUCUUGACAUAGUCUACCUAGACUUCAGCAAGGCCUUUGACACAGUCUCCCACAGUAUUCUCCUGGAGAAGCUGGCAGCCUGUGGCUUGGACAGGUACACUCUUUGCUGGGUUUAAAACUGGCUGGAUGUCUGGGCCCAGAGAGUGGUGGUGAAUGGAGUGUGAUCCAGCUGGAGAACGGUCACCAGUGGUGAUCCCCUGGGGUCAGUGUUGGGGCCCAUCCUCUUUAAUAUCUUUGUUGAUGAUUUGGAUGAGGGAAUUGAGUGCACCCUCAGGAAGUUUGCAGAUGACACCAAGUUAAGGGGGAGUGUCGAUCUGCCAAAGGGUAGGAAGGCCCUGCAGAGGGACCUGGACAGGAUGAGUCAAUGGGCAGAGGCCAGUGGGAUGAGGUUCAACAUGGCUAAGUGCCAGGUCCUGCACUUUGGCCACAACAACCCCAUGCAGCACUACAGGCUUGGGGCAGAGUGGCUGGAAAGCUGUGCAGAGGAAAAGGAUCUGGGGGCGAUGAUAGAUGCUCGUCUGAACAUGAGCUGGCAGUGUGCCCAGGUGGCCAAGAAGGCCAAUGACAUGCUGGCUGGUAUCAGGAAUAGUGUAGUCAGCAAGACCAGGGAGGUGAUCGUCCCCUUGUAUUCAGCUCUGGUGAGGCCGCACCUCGAGUACUGUGUUCAGUUUUGGGCUCCUCAGUACAAGAAGGACAUCGAGGUCCUGGAACGUGUCCAGAGAAGGGCUACAAAGCUGCUGAAGGGUCUGGAACACAAGCCCUAUGAGGAGCAGCUGAAGGGACGUGGGAUUGUUUAGUUUGGAGAAGAGAAGGCUCAGGGGAGACCUUACUGCUCUCUACAACUGCCUGAAAGGAAGGUUUAGGGAGCUGGGGGUCAGCCUCUUCUCACGGGUAACUAGCGAUAGGACUAGAGGGAAUGGCCUCAGGUUGCACCAGGGGAGGUUUAGGUUGGAAAUUCAGAGACAUUUCUUCUCAGAAGGCGUAGUCAGGCAUUGGAAUGGGUUGUCCAGGGAAGUGGUGGCGUCACUGUCCCUGAGGGUGUUCAAGGGAAGGUUGGACCUGGCAUUUAGGGACAUGGGUUAGUGGGUGAUAUUGGUAGUAGGGUGAGGGUUUCGACCAGAUGAUCUUGAAAGUCUCUUCCAACCUUAAUGAUUCUAUGAUUGUGAAGUCCACUCGCUCCCUUUGUACAUACACUGCUUAUUUUGUCUCUGUCACUAUCUCAUACACAGAAAGUGGCAAUCAUUGAUUGAAAUUUUGUGUUACACAGAACUGUAGUCUGCAAGGAGCAUGCCCUAUUCUCUUUUAAAAUGUUAUAUGAUCAAAUAGUAAUCUGCAAACCAAGAAGUACAGAUUUAAUACACACACACCACUUCUACCCAUCAAACUUAACUGUCUCCUCUGAACAAAGCCCCAAGUCAUUCCUAACACAUGACAGAACUGAUUGCCUUGAUAUGGAGC